rnacentral:rRNA from 1 species
GGAUUAGAUACCCUGGUAGUCCACGCUGUAAACGAUACCAACUAGCCGUUGGAUUCUUAAAGAAUUUUGUGGCGUAGCUAACGCGAUAAGUUGAUCGCCUGGGGAGUACGGUCGCAAGGCUAAAACUCAAAUGAAUUGACGGGGGCCCGCACAAGCGGUGGAGCAUGUGGUUUAAUUCGAUGCAACGCGCAAAACCUUACCUACUCUUGACAUCCAAAGUACUUUCCAGAGAUGGAAGGGUGCCUUAGGGAACUUUGAGACAGGUGCUGCAUGGCUGUCGUCAGCUCGUGUUGUGAAAUGUUGGGUUAAGUCCCGUAACGAGCGCAACCCUUGUCCUUAGUUGCCAACGCAGAAGGCGGGAACUUUAAGGAGACUGCUGGUGAUAAACCGGAGGAAGGUGGGGACGACGUCAAGUCAUCAUGGCCCUUAAGAGUAGGGCAACACACGUGCUACAAUGGCAAAAACAAAGGGUCGCAAAAUGGUAACAUGAAGCUAAUCCCAAAAAACUUGUCUUAGUUCGGAUUGGAGUCUGAAACUCGACUCCAUAAAGUCGGAAUCGCUAGUAAUCGUGAAUCAGAAUGUCACGGUGAAUACGUUCUCGGGCCUUGUACACACCGCCCGUCACACCAUGGAAGUGAAAUGCACCAGAAGUAGCUAGUCUAACCUUCGGGAGGACGGUUACCACGGUGUGAUUCAUGACUGGGGUGAAGUCGUAACAAGGUAGC